rnacentral:ncRNA from 1 species
UGAGACCUGAUGCCGAGCCGAUUGUGGUGAAGUGGAUGAUCCUAUGCUGUCGAGAAAAGCCUCUAGCGAGUUUCAUGGCGGCCCGUACCCUAAACCGACUCAGGUGGUCAGGUAGAGAAUACCGAGGCGUUCGGGUGAACUAUGGUUAAGGAACUCGGCAAAAUGCCCCCGUAACUUCGGGAGAAGGGGGGCCAUUCCUGGUGAGAGGGACUUGCUCCUCGAGCUGGGGGUGGCCGCAGAGACCAGCGAGAAGCGACUGUUUACUAAAAACACAGGUCCGUGCGAAGCCGUAAGGCGAUGUAUACGGACUGACGCCUGCCCGGUGCUGGAACGUUAAGGGGACCGGUUAGCUCCAUUUCGGUGGGGCGAAGCUGAGAACUUAAGCGCCAGUAAACGGCGGUGGUAACUAUAACCAUCCUAAGGUAGCGAAAUUCCUUGUCGGGUAAGUUCCGACCUGCACGAAUGGCGUAACGACUUCUCGACUGUCUCAACCAUAGGCCCGGUGAAAUUGCACUACGAGUAAAGAUGCUCGUUUCGCGCAGCAGGACGGAAAGACCCCGGGACCUUUACUACAGUUUGAUAUUGGUGUUCGGUUCGGCUUGUGUAGGAUAGCUGGGAGACUUUGAAGCAGGCACGCCAGUGUUUGUGGAGUCGUCGUUGAAAUACCAGUCUGGUCGUGCUGGAUGUCUAACCUGGGUCCGUGAUCCGGAUCAGGGACAGUGUCUGAUGGGUAGUUUAACUGGGGCGGUUGCCUCCUAAAGGGUAACGGAGGCGCCCAAAGGUUCCCUCAGCCUGGUUGGCAAUCAGGUGUUGAGUGUAAGUGCACAAGGGAGCUUGACUGUGAGACCGACGGGUCGAGCAGGGACGAAAGUCGGGACUAGUGAUCCGGCGGUGGCUUGUGGAAGCGCCGUCGCUCAACGGAUAAAAGGUACCCCGGGGAUAACAGGCUGAUCUUCCCCAAGAGUCCAUAUCGACGGGAUGGUUUGGCACCUCGAUGUCGGCUCGUCGCAUCCUGGGGCUGGAGUCGGUCCCAAGGGUUGGGCUGUUCGCCCAUUAAAGCGGUACGCGAGCUGGGUUUAGAACGUCGUGAGACAGUUCGGUCCCUAUCCGCUGUGCGCGUAGGAGUCUUGAGAAGGGCUGUCCCUAGUACGAGAGGACCGGGACGGACGAACCUCUGGUGUGCCAGUUGUUCUGCCAAGGGCAUGGCUGGUUGGCUACGUUCGGGAGGGAUAACCGCUGAAAGCAUCUAAGCGGGAAGCCUGCUUCGAGAUGAGGACUCCCACCCACUUGAUGGGGUAAGGCUCCCAGUAGACGACUGGGUUGAUAGGCCGGAUCUGGAAGCCAGGUAACUGGUGGAGGUGACCGGUACUAAUAGGCCGAGGGCUUGUCCUC